rnacentral:rRNA from 1 species
ACACUCCUGCGGGAGGCAGCAGUGGGGAAUUUUGGACAAUGGGCGAAAGCCUGAUCCAGCCAUGCCGCGUGCAGGAUGAAGGCCUUCGGGUUGUAAACUGCUUUUGUACGGAACGAAACGGCCUUUUCUAAUAAAGAGGGCUAAUGACGGUACCGUAAGAAUAAGCACCGGCUAACUACGUGCCAGCAGCCGCGGUAAUACGUAGGGUGCAAGCGUUAAUCGGAAUUACUGGGCGUAAAGCGUGCGCAGGCGGUUAUGUAAGACAGUUGUGAAAUCCCCGGGCUCAACCUGGGAACUGCAUCUGUGACUGCAUAGCUAGAGUACGGUAGAGGGGGAUGGAAUUCUGCGUGUAGCAGUGAAAUGCGUAGAUAUGCGGAGGAACACCGAUGGCGAAGGCAAUCCCCUGGACCUGUACUGACGCUCAUGCACGAAAGCGUGGGGAGCAAACAGGAUUAGAAACCCCUGUAGUCCCAUGA